AGAGUUUGAUCAUGGCUCAGGGUAAACGCUGGCGGCGUGCCUAAAACAUGCAAGUCGAACGGGCAGUCUUCGGAUUGUCAGUGGCAGACGGCUGAGUAACGCGUGGGUGACGUACCUAUCGGUGGGGAAUAACUGCCCGAAAGGGUGGCUAAUACCGCAUACGUCCACUUCUUCGUUGGAGUGGGGAAAACCUUGUAAAAGGUGCCGAUGGAGCGGCCCGCGUUCGAUUAGCUGGUUGGUGGGGUAACGGCCUACCAAGGCGACGAUCGAUAGCUGGUCUCAGAGGAUGAUCAGCCAGACUGGGACUGAGACACGGCCCAGACUCCUACGGGAGGCAGCAGUUAGGAAUUUUGGGCAAUGGGCGCAAGCCUGACCCAGCAACGCCGCGUGGGUGACGAAGGCCUUCGGGUUGUAAAGCCCUUUUCUGAGGGAAGAUGAUGACGGUACCUCAGGAAGAAGCACCGGCUAACUACGUGCCAGCAGCCGCGGUAAUACGUAGGGUGCGAGCGUUGCCCGGAUUUAUUGGGCGUAAAGGGCGCGUAGGCGGUCACGCACGUCCGUUGUGAAAUCGCUCGGCUCAGCUGGGCGGGGUCAGCGGAUACGGCGUGGCUGGAGCAAGCUAGGGGGCAAUGGAAUUCCCGGUGUAGUGGUGGAAUGCGUAGAUAUCGGGAGGAACACCAGUGGCGAAGGCGGUUGCCUGGAGCUUUGCUGACGCUGAUGCGCGAAAGCGUGGGGAGCGAUCCGGAUUAGAUACCCUAGUAGUCC
rnacentral:rRNA from 1 species